rnacentral:rRNA from 1 species
CAACCUGCCUUUCAGAGGGGGAUAACAGUUGGAAACGACUGCUAAUACCGCAUAACGCUGCGAUGGGGCAUCCCGAUGCAGCCAAAGGAGCAAUCCGCUGGAAGAUGGGCUCGCGGCCGAUUAGCUAGUUGGUGGGGCAACGGCCCACCAAGGCGACGAUCGGUAGCCGGACUGAGAGGUUGAUCGGCCACAUUGGGACUGAGACACGGCCCAGACUCCUACGGGAGGCAGCAG